CACGGUUCCUUUAUUUAUUUUUCAUGCUUAUUCCUGAUGCCUGAUGUGUUGCACACCUCUAUUUGUAAACAUAGUUUAGUAUCUGUCUAUUAUUAAUUUCUGUGCAUUUAUUUUUCAUAGACAGAAAUAUGAAUCCCUUAAUGAGGACAGGCUUAGGUUGAAACCGUACAGAACCGGCAGCAGAUGAUAUAUGAUGAACUGUCGAAUAUGGAAUAACCUGUAUGCGAAAGUUAUAAUACUACAGUGUAUUGCAAAAUGAAUGAUCUCACAAUGUCAAAUUGUGAUAAUCAAAUAUUUAUAUAACACAGUUUCAGAAUAAUGUUAGUUUAACACUCAAUGACUGCAUAACAUUUAUAUUAAAAAAAUAAAUAGAUUAUUGGUAUGAAAAUAAUAGAGCUUAAUAUAAACUUCACAUUUGAACUUUCUGAACUUUCAACUGCCAGCUGAGUGAAAAUUUUAUUGACAUAUAAUUAUAAAUAAAAUCAUUUGUCAUAAGCAAAAAAGACCUUACUUCAUUUUUGUAGCUCCUUUUAAGCCAAUAGUUCAUGAUAAGAUCCCAGAUUUGAUGGACCUUAAUUUGUAUUUUCAAUUUUA